rnacentral:rRNA from 1 species
UUGGAGGGCAAAGUCUGGUGCCAGCAGCCGCGGUAAUUCCAGCUCCAAUAGCGUAUAUUAAAGUUGUUGCAGUUAAAAAGCUCGUAGUUGAACUUCGGGGUCUACCCAUUGGUCAGGCUUAAUUGUCUGCACUGGUGAGAUGGAUCUCUACCUUCUGAGGAACUUUCAUGCCAUUUAUUUAGUGUGAUUGGAAAUCAGGACUGUUACUUUGGAAAAAUUGAGUGUUUAAAGCAGACUAUCGUCUGAAUACAUUAGCAUAGG